AGGUCCAGGAGGAGGCAGGAGGUGGCAGGAGGUCUGUCUGCGUCUCACGAAGACAAGAACGUGUCGUCUUGUUUCUGCUGCUCCACCUCUCGCUGGAAAUUAGGAAAGACCCGAGUGGCUUUUCUGGACUCAACCAAAUGGCGUCAACCGACGAGCUGCUGGACCAACAACGAACCAAGAACAGCUCACAAGAGGUUGUGUCCCGCUGCCUGUAGGCUCCUGUUCUGUUGGCUUCAGUGAAGCUCACAAGAAGUCAUGUCCUGCUGUGUGUGAACAUGAAACCACAUCACGCUGCCUGUAGGCUCCAGUCCAGCUCACGUGUCCAGCUGUGUGUGAACAUGAAACUGCAUCACGUGUCUACAGGCUCCUGUUCAGCUUCAGAGACGAGAUCUACAGUAAUGCAGUCCAGAAACAGGAGGAUCACUCGAAGACGUCGCCUUCUUGUGACGUAAUAAGCCGAGACUCCCCAUGAUGC